GUGGGGAAUAUUGCACAAUGGGGGAAACCCUGAUGCAGCCAUGCCGCGUGUGUGAAGAAGGCCUUCGGGUUGUAAAGCACUUUCAGCGAGGAGGAAAGGUCAGUAGCUAAUAUCUGCUGACUGUGACGUUACUCGCAGAAGAAGCACCGGCUAACUCCGUGCCAGCAGCCGCGGUAAUACGGAGGGUGCAAGCGUUAAUCGGAAUUACUGGGCGUAAAGCGCACGCAGGCGGUUGGAUAAGUUAGAUGUGAAAGCCCCGGGCUCAACCUGGGAAUUGCAUUUAAAACUGUCCAGCUAGAGUCUUGUAGAGGGGGGUAGAAUUCCAGGUGUAGCGGUGAAAUGCGUAGAGAUCUGGAGGAAUACCGGUGGCGAAGGCGGCCCCCUGGACAAAGACUGACGCUCAGGUGCGAAAGCGUGGGGAGCAAACAGGAUUAGAUACCCCGGUAGUCC
rnacentral:rRNA from 1 species